GGUGACCUCCUGGGAAGUCCUCGUGUUACGCCCCUU
rnacentral:rRNA from 1 species